rnacentral:snoRNA from 8 species
UGUGAGUGAUGACUCUUUCCUCCUGACUCCUACGUGGAGGCGAAAACUGAUUUAAUGAGCCUGACAC